GGGAAUUCGAUUAGAGUUUGAUCCUGGCUCACAUUGAACGCUGGCGGCAUGCUUUACACAUGCAAGUCGAACGGCAGCGCGGGGCAACCUGGCGGCGAGUGGCGAACGGGUGAGUAAUACAUCGGAACNNNNNCAGAAGUGGGGGAUAACGUAGCGAAAGUUACGCUAAUACCGCAUACGUUCUACGGAAGAAAGUGGGGGAUCGCAAGACCUCAUGCUUUUGGAGCGGCCGAUGUCUGAUUAGCUAGUUGGUGAGGUAAAGGCUCACCAAGGCGACGAUCAGUAGCUGGUCUGAGAGGACGACCAGCCACACUGGGACUGAGACACGGCCCAGACUCCUACGGGAGGCAGCAGUGGGGAAUUUUGGACAAUGGGNNCAAGCCUGAUCCAGCAAUGCCGCGUGAGUGAAGAAGGCCUUCGGGUUGUAAAGCUCUUUUGUCAGGGAAGAAACGGCUGGGGCUAAUAUCCUCGGCUAAUGACGGUACCUGAAGAAUAAGCACCGGCUAACUACGUGCCAGCAGCCGCGGUAAUACGUAGGGUGCAAGCGUUAAUCGGAAUUACUGGGCGUAAAGCGUGCGCAGGCGGUUUUGUAAGUCUGACGUGAAAUCCCCGGGCUCAACCUGGGAAUUGCGUUGGAGACUGCAAGGCUGGAGUCUGGCAGAGGGGGGUAGAAUUCCACGUGUAGCAGUGAAAUGCGUAGAGAUGUGGAGGAACACCGAUGGCGAACGCAGCCCCCUGGGUC
rnacentral:rRNA from 1 species